UUUUCCCAGAAGGACAUUUUCAGUGCUGAACUUAUCCACACUGCAGGUCUGAAAAAGGGUGCCAGUCCCAGUUCUUGGUUGCCAGCAGCAGAGAAUUAGGCAGAAGAAACAUGUAAUAAAGGAUAUUAGGUAGGUCACAGACUCUUUGGGCCAGAACCCAGACUUGGAAGCCACAAAGGCUGAAAACCCACUCCCCUCCUCAUCCUUUGACCUCUACUCCAAGUUCCUAGGCUGGGAACUUGGGGAAAAUCUCUCAGGGAAAGAUUCUCUUUCUGCCCUGUCUUGUUUGGCUUUUACCACGCCCAACAGUCUGUCCUAGGACACACUGCCAGCUCCCCCAACCUCCCCCAGCUCAGAGGUGCUCACAGCUGCUGCCCACAGGCCCUCACUCUUCUGUGAAAGUGACACCCACCCAAUCACCAAUCCAUCGCCCAUUGAUGGAUCCAUCCAUCCACCCACUUACCCAUCCCUCUCGGGGCUUCUGUUUCCAUGGUUACUCCAGGGCCUGAGUCUGCUCUGGGUUUGCUGAAAGAUUCUUCAUGCUAGGCUGUUUCCACAACAUUUUUACUAGUGGACUCAAACCCUCGAUGACUGAAGGGGUCCCAUCCUUCUAACAGUGCUCCCUACUUGCAGAUCACACAUGGCUUACAUGUCAGUCCAUCAAGGCAGUCAGCUUCCUGGAUUUAAAAUAAAAGCAAAAGCUCUGCAGUAUUUAAACAGAGAGGCACUCGGAAGUACCGUGUCUGGGAGGGGUGCCACAGGAGACCAAGUGGGAGUUCCCAGAGCACCUAUGCCAUUUGGCAAUGGGAUUUUUUCUUAGUAAAUAUGGGAAUAUGUGUGUGUAUGUGGAAGAGGAACUUACUGGAGGUCCUUCUCAUGGCUGUGGCAAUGUGCAUGUCCACUAGCUUUGUGAAAUGCAGAUGGAGUAUAAUUUUCCCCAAAUUGAUCUGUUCUACAUCAUUGAGUUUCAGCUAUUUGCAUUUUAAAGCCAGAAUCAAAUUUAGCUUAUGAUUAUUGUUGUGGAAAAUCAUUAUAAUCCUUUAAUUGUCAUGGCUCUUGAUGAUUUUUUAAAAAUUCACAAAUGUUAUUUAAUUCCAUAUUCACUAUGACAUAGGACAUUGAGCAGAGUAGGAACUAUCAAAUGUGUCUCCAACUUCAAACUGCCCCUCUUUUUCAGUUGGGAAAUUAAGGUUCUCAAUGGUUAGCUGAUGUGCCCCUGGCCAUACUGAUGUAAGUUAUAGAAGCAGGAACAGAAACCAGAGUGAAUGGCUCUGCCCUGUCCUGAGUUCUGUCCCAUCAAGAUGAGUCUUCAAAGUCUGUCAAGUGGGUGUGAUUAGCUUUGCCUUGCAGGCUCACUGUCUGUGUCAUGUAUAUGUAGGCUAGGUGGCACAGGGUGCCCAGUUGCUCCUGUCUCUUCCCAUCUCCAUGCAAUGGCAGGUGCCAUUUGGAGAUCAGAAAGCCUCCGGGGCUGAGAUGAGAGAACAAAAAGCCUUCCUCUUAACCAGCCUGAAAGCCAAGGGGCAACGCAUGUGCGUGUACAUACAUACACACACACAUACACACAAACACACCUGCCAGCAUGCACUAUGAAUAUACAUGCAUGUGUCAGGGGAAGAGCACCUCUCUGAAUUUCAAAGCUCCAGUAGGUUAAGAAAACAUCUCUUCUCAUCUGCUUCUGUUCCAUCUCUACAAUCAGCUCCAUAAAGGCUCCACCACCCAAGUACAUUCAUGACAACCCACUUUCCAGAUCUAAAUGAUACAACUCCUCCAAGUCCUUGGCUUUCAUUGUCAAUUGGUUCUUCCAUUUGCCUGCUGACUGAUGCACACAGUUUUUGGCAUCCUCCAGUCCUGAAGACUCUGCUGGGUGUAUCCUUCCUGUCCAGUGGUCGUUUUUAGCUGGAAGUUGGGUAAAAAGAUGUAGCAAUAGCCAGGAUAGUGUCUCUUUGUGCCUCUCACCCCCUUAGCAAGCUCAGCUGGAGUGGCACUCACAGGAUGUUCCCACUGUGGCCUC
rnacentral:lncRNA from 1 species